AUGCUUGUGCCGGGAGGUCUGCUGGGCCCUGCAGGAGCAGCAAGGCAGGGCUGGUGUCACCUCAUUUCUGUCCUGGGGCUGCGAAGAAGUUUCCAGGAGGCCCCGGCUGGAGUGGUGCUGCACAGCUCGGCUGUCCUGGGCACGGCACGGCACACACAGCCUGCAGGAGCAGCUCUGGGGCUGGGGCACAGCUCCCAGGAGGGAGCAGCCUCCUUGGCACGGGUGAGGUCCGUGUUUGCAGAGGAUGGCGAGCGUACCUGGCGCGCUCCAGGUUCGGCUUCCCGGAGUGUGCCCGGCCCCAGCCGCCUCCUCUCGACCCCCGUGCGCGCCCCCGGCAGCCGGGGGGGGCUGAGGAAGGCUGCGAGCGGGCACCCCCCGUGCACGAGGGCCCGGGGGCGAGCGGCGGGGCGCGGGGCGCGGGGGCGGGCAGUGCGCGCAGCCCGGCCCACCCGCCCGACGCCACUCGUCGGGAGAGGGGGGGGGGGGGGGGGGGAGGAGGAGGAGGAGGGGAGGAGGAGGAGGAGGAGGAGCGGCUGCGAGCUCGGCUCUGGGCAUCUCAACCUGGCUGGCAGCGCGGCGGCAGGGAGCGCGGCACGCCGGGGGCACCGCACCGUCCGCAAUUGCGCCGCACCCCGGGGCCAUAGGUGCUCUUUAUGGCAUGUGGCUGGUAACUUUUUUCCUGCUCUACUCUUUGCCGAAAGGUACGUGGCGCCCGGCAGCGGGGACGCGGCGGGCUCCCCCCGGUGCCCUGCACCCCCCCGGUGCCCAGCACCCCCUCCGUGCGCCCCAACGGGGCUCCGGGGCCACGGGCGCGGCGCCCCCCGCGGAGCGCUCCGGGGGUCCCGGCGGGGGGCUCGGGGUGCCGCCCGCCCCCCGGGGGUCCCAGGGGCUCUGGGAGCCGAGCCCGAGCCCCCAGCGGUGCCGGAGCCCCCCGGGGGGCGGGCUGCCCGCUGCCCCGACGGGACCUGCCGGGGCUGGCGGCGGUACUUUGGAGAGCUUUGUUCUGGUGUCCCCGCUUUUCCGGGACUACUUAGAGCGAUAUCCUAA
rnacentral:lncRNA from 1 species